rnacentral:rRNA from 1 species
GUGUCAGCCGCCGCGGUAAUACAGAGGGUGCAAGCGUUAAUCGGAUUUACUGGGCGUAAAGCGUGCGUAGGCGGCCAAUUAAGUCAAAUGUGAAAUCCCCGAGCUUAACUUGGGAAUUGCAUUCGAUACUGGUUGGCUAGAGUAUGGGAGAGGAUGGUAGAAUUCUAGGUGUAGCGGUGAAAUGCGUAGAGAUCUGGAGGAAUACCGAUGGCGAAGGCAGCCAUCUGGCCUAAUACUGACGCUGAGGUACGAAAGCAUGGGGAGCAAACAGGAUUAGAAACCCGCGUAGUCC